rnacentral:rRNA from 1 species
GAUGAACGCUGGCGGCGUGCCUAAUACAUGCAAGUCGAGCGAACAGACGAGGAGCUUGCUCCUCUGACGUUAGCGGCGGACGGGUGAGUAACACGUGGAUAACCUACCUAUAAGACUGGGAUAAAUUCGGGAAACCGGAGCUAAUACCGGAUAAUAUAUUGAACCGCAUGGUUCAAUAGUUAAAGACGUUUUUUCUGUCACUUAUAGAUGGAUCCGCGCCGCAUUAGCUAGUUGGUAAGGUAACGGCUUACCAAGGCGACGAUGCGUAGCCGACCUGAGAGGGUGAUCGGCCACACUGGAACUGAGACACGGUCCAGACUCCUACGGGAGGCAGCAGUAGGGAAUCUUCCGCAAUGGGCGAAAGCCUGACGGAGCAACGCCGCGUGAGUGAUGAAGGUCUUCGGAUCGUAAAACUCUGUUAUUAGGGAAGAACAAAUGUGUAAGUAACUAUGCACGUCUUGACGGUACCUAAUCAGAAAGCCACGGCUAACUACGUG